CCCCUAGCUCAGACUGCCCAUCAUCCUAUCUUGCUCCUUUCUUCCCCCGUAGCACUUAAACACUGUCCAUCAUGCUGGGUACUUUUGGUUUAGUUUCUGACUCCCCCUGCAGAACGUGGCCCCUGUGAGAGCCAGAAUUUCCAUCUGAUGUAGCCCAGAGCCUAGAGCAGUGCCUGGCGCAUACUUAGCUCUCAAUAUGAUUUGUUAUCACGGCCCGAGUUCAUGUCUCCAUGACCCCGUGGGGCCCUGGAAAGUUCCCUGAGGCUCAGUUUUCUCAGCUGUCAAAUGGGAAGAGGAAGCCCCCAUUUGAAGCAGAUGCUUGAUCGCUCGGACCUGCUCUCAAUUGCCUUUUCAGUUUCCUGUGGCUCCGUGGUUGAGGCUGUCCCGCCCAAGACCCAACUCAGGCCCCAGCACAGGAUGAGUCACCCACUUUUAGGGAGAACCUACCAUGUGUCAAGCACCGAGGUCGGAUCCCUGCACCUAAAUUGUCCCCAGCCCCGUUAGAUUCCUGCUGGACCUGGAGUUGAAUUCUCUGAAAAUCUGUUAUCACAUUUCGUUCCCACAACAGCACCACGUGGUUGACGUCAUGCCCAUAGAACAGUCAUUGGCUCAGAGAGGUUGAAGCAUUUACCCAAGGUCACCCAGCAAGAAGGCCAACCUCAGACCCUCCCAUAGGCGUGUCUGCCUCCUCCCACAUAUGCUCAGCUCCCAGCACAACUCCACAUUGGUGAUGACAAGAGAAGACCAAUCCGGGGCCUCCAGGUUGGGGCUCAGAGGUGUUGCAGGUCCUGGGGCACGUUGCGGAGCCGUAGGACGUUGGCUCUAGGAGGUCCAUGCAGGGGGCGGGCCGGGCGGGCUUCAAUAUUUCCUUAGUGUCUGUUUGGUGUUAGUGACAGUGCUGGGCUGUUAUAGUCUGGGGAUGAGGGGUUAGCAAAUUUCCUCAGGGUCCCACAGGAGGGCGUGGAUGACCUGGGCGCCUAUGUCCUUCUGCUCAACACUGAGGUCUCUGUGCUCCCACCCCGGACGGGAGCAGGGCUCUGGAUGACAGUACCGCUGGGAUGCAGGCACUGCUCGGUGCUGAGAACUUCCGUGGACCACAAACUUCUUCUUCCAGCCGUCCCGUUGUAAGGUGGCUUCUGCAGGUCACCCCAUCUCAGGAGGCUCAGGGCCUCGCCCCUGGCCCGGGGGUGACGGAACUGACUCUUGGACCCAGAUGGUCUGACCUCAGAGGCUGUGCUCACGACCACCAUGGUGCAUGCACCUCCCCGCAUCGCGGGUCACCGUGUCUGGCCUGCAGCAUCUUCCCAACAGCAGCCGCAUCCUUCCUCCUUCUCGUCUCUUACACAUGGCCUCCAUCUUUCAUAUCCCUGUCGGGUCACCUCCUCCAUCACUCCUUCCCUGAGAGCGCCAUCAGUGCCACCCUCACAGGACCCUCUCACAGCCUCCGGCCUCCUCCACCUGAUCCCCCCCAUCACCUGCCCCUUUGCUCACUGGCCAGGUGACUGGUGUCCUUCUCUGGUCCUUUCUCAUUUCCACUUCCAUUUAGAAUCUGUCUGCCCACAGUGUACCCCGUGAGUGUGUUUAUUCUCCCGCUGGCUCACGAGGUCCCUGGAGGCAGGCAGAAGGCGUUGGCCACUGUGAAAACCUGCGUGGAGCGAGGAUGCUCAGCGGAAACGAGCCAGCUGCCCGACACCCGGUCUCUCUGUGGGUCACCUUGGAGGCCAGGCAGGCAGGGACAGUGGGGAGAGGAGGAUGCCGGGAGAGUAGAAGUCACGACCUUCGGCCCCCGAGCUGGGGGUCUUCUGUUUGCCCCCUCAGACACACCCCCCACCUCUUCUGCCCUCCCACUCCCAGGUGGGUUCAGCUAUGGGGAAUCACCCAACGGCAGCAAACAGAGGGCGUCUGUGCACUCCAGCGUCUGCCUGCAGGGCAGCCACGGGUCAGCCACCUGCCUCAACCAAAGGGCCCUUGGGACACCCUCUCCACCUGCGGCCCUCUCCCCCUGCCGCCCUCUCCACCUGCCGCCCUCUCCACAUACUGUCCUCUCCUGUUCUGGCAGCAGCUCCCUGUCCUGCCUUUUCGGUCCCAGAGGAAACAACAGCUCCCACCAUUGCUAGCCCGGCAUGCUGUGCAUUCCUGGGUCGAGGGCUCAGCACAUCUUUUCUGUAAUGGUAAGACAGUAAAUCUUUCAAGCAUCCAGGGACUAUGGUUUCUGUUGCACCUACGCAGCUCCGCCUUUGUGUUUCUGAAGCAGCCAUGGGCGAUACGUAAAAGAAUGGGCAGGGCUCUUCCAACACAACUUUAUUUUUCAAACCAGGGGGAGAGCUGAAUUUGGCAGUCAUUUGCUGAUCCCUGCCUUGAGGGUCACAUUAAAUCCUGCCCCCACUUUGAUAAAUAAUCCCUUUCUUGGAGUGAGCAAGUGCUGGGGCCCUGAGGAGACGGCGGCCACGUCCCCGGGGGAAGGAGAGGCUGCCUGGGAGAGUGUUGGGGGAACGGGGCCCAGCUCCAGCAUCCACGCGGCACGCUCUCCCUGGGGUCCUCCUGCAGGAUCUCCUUUCCCCAUCCCUUCUUCCCAGGAGCCAGGCCUUGGGGCUGGGGCUUCCCUUGGAAGGGCUCCAAGUCUGUGCUGGCUCCUGGGGGCUCAGUUCUUCUUUCUGUGCUUCCUAAUGACCCCUUUCUCGAUAGAUGGGGAGUUGCCACCUGGAGUCUUAAACAGGAAGGACUCUGAGUUUAUCUGGGCUCCGUGGAAAAGAACAUUCUGAUUGAUUAUUAAUGUCUGCCCAGGGUGAGGUGGGAGGGAAGGAUGCACGAUUGCUAUCUAUUUGCCCUCUGUGAGCUAAGUGGACAAAGUGACUCUCAUAAUUCACACACGGUCCAGCCAAGCUCGUCCAGACCUUGAGCUUGGCGGCCAAAGAGCCAGACAGUAAUGAAAAGGGACUUUGUCCGCUACACAGACCCCCUCCCCUAAUCAAGCCAAGGGAAGCCCACAGCCGUGACUAGCUGAGGAUUCAGGCCACACCCGCAACAACCCACAUUAUCCUAGAAGAUGAGAGAGCCGAGGAGGACGAGUGAGAAACAAGGGCAGGGAUGUUAACAGGAGGAAAGAGAGAUAGUGAAGAGAGAAGGAGGGAGGGCAAAGCAGGUGAGGCAUUGAGAUGGAGAAGAACUGAGAAAAGAGGGACAGCAGGGGGUGGAGACAGCCUGUAAUGCCCCAUCCGCUGUCAGGGAGCCUCAGAGGCCCAGCCUCAAGAAUCAAUGAGUCCCUCUUGGUCACGUCCAGUGACGGGGAGCUCACUACUCAGUAAGACAUUUGGGGUCUGAUCUAAUUGCUUUUCUUCUUUGGACCCUGAGCUGCAGGGCCCUCAGAAGUAGUUAAAGCCACCUUCCCCUUCCUGGCAUCUGUAGACCAGGGAGUGACUGUUCUAGAAGGGACUCAGCUAAGGGUCCACAGCCCCUGACAGCAGCCGAACCAGGGUCCUCAUCUCCCAGGGCCUGGGGUCUGCUGCUUUUUUCUCCUACCCAGAGAGCUGCCUCACCAGGACAGCCACGUGCCGGCCCCAGGUCUGCUCUCUGGAGCGGCAGAUAAGGGUUUCCAUGUGCCACCUGUCGGGUCCUUCCCCAAUUUUCUCACCUGGUGCCUUCAACCCUUUCUCAGGUGGGAAGUUUCUCGUAGCUCCCAGGUCCUUCAGAACGCCAGCCACUGUCUCCCGGGAGUUUUUGAGACUGCUGUCUGCAGCAGAAGUGGACCCUUCACUCCGAAAGAGGGUGGCCAGGCUGAACACAGAGGCCGUCCCGCCCUUCAGGGGGCUGACCUCAACCCCGGAGUUCUCGCACCUCAGCUUGGACCCCUGUCUGCCUGGUGUUCAACAUCGAGUCUGCAACUUCCCCAUCUGUCAAAUGGGGGCCCCGCCUCUCUCGUCUACUCCCUGGGGUCAUGUGAGUCCACCCAGCAGACAUCACUCACUUUAUGACGACGUCCCUUCACAGCAGCCCUGUCCCCUGUGGACUCUGGUGGAGUUCCAGUCUUUUAGGUUCAUGGACUCAAUUCCAACGUCAUGGGGCGGGGGUGGAGGGGCCUGGGGCUUCCCACACAACAUCAUGCAUUUCUCAGACACCAGCAGGGUGUGGAGAAUUUGACACAGUCAACUCGGUUCCAACAUGAUCUGCCCAGAGACAGCAUCAGAUUCCACAGGCAAAGGACUCGGUCCCACCAGGCAGCCUCCACUUCAGACGCAAUCGCGAGUCUGGGUUGCCACCUGUGCUCUGACGGACCGGCUAUAAACCAGAGGCUCCCACAAGCCCCUCUUUGGGUUUCAUGAAUUUGCUAGGACAGCUCACAGAACUCAGAGAAACAUUGACUUCCUAGAUCACCAGUUUGUUAGAAAAGGAUAUGACGCAGCCAGACGGAAGAGAUGCACAGGGCAAGGCGUGGGGAAGGGCUCUGCCCUGUUCUCUCUGACUCCCUCCGAGAGUGCCACUGUCCCCACGUCUCCACGUGUUCACAACCCGGAAGCUCUCGGAACCCCGUCCUUUUGGGUUUGAUGGAGGCCCCAGUAUUUUGGCAUCACUGAUUAAGUCGUUGGCCAUUGGUGAUUGAACUCAGUCUCCAGCCCCUCCCCCCUCCCCGGAGGUCUGGGUGCGUCUGAAAGUUCCAACCCUCUGAUCACACGGUUGGCGCUUUCCAAAAGUCACCUCAUUCACGUAACAUCAGCUUUAUCGCUCGGGUUUUGGGAGCUGUGAGUCAGGAACUGUGGACGAAGACCAAAUAUAUACGAGAAGUAUAUUUUGAUCAUCUGAAUGACCAAAUACAUAUUUCUGCUUAUAAAUCACACUAUGGCACCCAGGUCAAGUGAAAUCUCCGAAUGCCUUGCUCAUUGGUGGCUGACGAGCCAGCACCUCCCCUCCCCCACCCCCACCCCUGCCUCCACCCCUAGAAGGUGCUACGAGUGUUUCUUGGAGAAAUGAUUAGAGAGAAAAAUCUUGGCUCCUCCAGCACAUUGCCUCUCUCCUCUCCAUCUCUGUGGUUGUGCCACUGGCCUAAGUUGACCACCCAACCAUUGCCAGCUACCUCACAGCCUGAUGAGAUGCAGGACCUCACCAAUGAGCCUUGUGGCCCAGUCCUGGAUGGGCGGUAAUUUCUUUCUCGCAUGCCAGCAUCGACUGAUCUGUAGUUGGGAGCUGCCUGGGGUGCUGUACCGAGAAGGAAUCUGAGCUGCCCCUGGACUAGCAGGAAGGUGUGCGGUGAUUGACUAGCAAUGUCUGCCGUGGACACAGGAAUGGUUAGGGGUGCUGCCUGUGCCGAGUACUUGCCAUUUCCAGUCUGCUGUUCCCCCUGCCACAGUGAAGCAAGAGACUGGUCGGACUUCUACUGGGAGGCUCCCCUGACUGCGUUUAGGGUUUGAGCGGUCCAUCAAAGGGUUAUCUUUCUACCCCUGCUGUUUUGCUACCUGGAGCUGUACUAACGCAGUAGCCACUAGCCACAUGCGACUAGUUAAAUUUAAAUGAAUGAAAAUUAAAUGAAAUGAAAACUUCAGCUUCUCAGUCGCCCUAGCCGCAUUUCAAGUGGUCACACGUGGCCAGUGGCUACCAUAUUGGACAGCACAGACGCAGAGCACUUCUGUCAUCACAGAAGGUUCUGUUGGAUGGAACUGGACUGAAUCAGUGGUUCCAGUAGGUGGCGAUUGUGUCCCCCAUGGACAUGUGGCAAUGUUGGAAGACAUUCUCAGAGAGAGGGGUGCCUCUAGCAUCUAGUGAGUAGAGGCCAGGGAUGCUGCUAAGCAUCCUGCAAUGCACAGGACAGUCCCACCGCAAAGAAUUAUCCAACCUCAAAUGUCCACAGUGGGGAGACUGAGAAACCCUGGUCUGGAAAAAUCACAUCAAGGGGAGGGGAGCAUUAAGGGGAAAAAAAAAGAGGCAAACUAAUCUUGCUCUGAACAGUAAACAGAUGUGACAUAGAACUGAGAAAAUAAGCCAACCCUCUGUUGACAGAACAAGAAGAGAAGUAACUCUUAGACUCUUCACCCUCUUAGGAGCUCUGUGGCCCCAGGCAAGUCACUAAACCUCUCUGAUUCUCAGUUUCCUCCUCAAUGAAGCUGGGACCGCAUCACACACACACUCCCUUGAUUAUCAGUGGAUUGAACAGGGCAGUGAGUGUGAAGGGGCUUUGGUCUCUGUUCCUGUAAGAAACAGUGUUGCAGAAUUCAUUAUCUUAGCUCAUGUUUAUUAAACUAGAUGAAACAUACACGCCUCCGACAGAAAGGCACCGAGUCCCAGUUUCAUUUCACCGAUGACCUUGAAUCACUUAAACCUCUAAAUCCCACUUCCUGAUCUGAAAAAUGGGGCCAAUAACUCACGCCCAAGCUCACAGGAAAAUUCAGCGUGAAUGAGACAUUUAACCGCAUUGAGCGACCGUCUGUCCCUCAACUCAACAGCUAAGCCAGUUGGCCUCCAAGAAAUGGAAACUCAAACCCCAGCUGGUACCAGAGAAACAGCUGAACGUGCCCUCGGUCCUUUAUGGGCGGGGAUAAAUUCCCCUGGGACCCUGGCCCUUGAAAUUCCUCCUUCCCUGAGUGAGAGCACUGGCCGCGUAUUUGGUAAACCCACGCUGCCAAUCCUCCAGCGUCUUUCCUUCGUGAUCAGGAAUUUUGGUUCUUCAAAGGAAUUGAGGGUCAGUGAGAGUCACAGUGACGAGCGGAGUGGAAGAGGAAAAUGAGGGAGCGGAGAGAGUCCUGCGGGGGCGGGAGAGGUGAUUCAGAAGAGGCUGAUGGUGGCUCUGGAUCCUUGAGACAGAAUGGGGGGUGUGUGUGUGUGUAAGAAUCUGCCUUGAUGGUUAUGAGAUGCCCCCAUUAGUUCUCAUCUCAAGGACCUUGUUUGUGUAAUAAAGUGCAUUUUCAUUACUUCCAACUGAAAUUAAAGCUCAGAUUGAACCCCUUCCUUUGAGAUUUCAAAGAUGAUGACGGAGAAGAUUUUGGGCUGAGAGUAAUAGGGAAACUUGGGUUUUUAUUCCUACCAUGAGCCCCAGGCUGCUCCCUGAAUGCCAGCCUUGAAGGCAGGGGCUAUUCUAAGUCCAACGCUCUCCCUGCAGAGCUGUGUGUCCUUGAGCAGUUGCUUCCCUUCUCUGUGCCUCAGUUGCCCUAUCUGUGAACACGUGGGGUCGAAUUCGUCAGUACCCGGGGACCCUCCACUUGUCUCAAACUCGCCUUCUCCAUUUUUCAAAUAAUUCAAUGUCACGUAGGUUAAACGUUAAGGGUACCAUGAAAAGACAAGGAGGAACCUUAAAUGCACAUUCCUAAGUGGGAGAAACCAAUCUGAAAAGGCUACAGACUGUAUGAUUCCAAUUCUAUGACAUUCUGGAAAAGGGAAAACUAUGCAGCCAGUAAAAAGAUCAGGGGUUGCCAGGACAGGAGGAGCAGAGAGGAUGUUUAGGGCAGUGAAACUACUCUGUGUGAUGCUGUGAUGGCAGAUCUGUGUUGUUGUCCAUUUGUCCAAACCCACAGAAUGUACAUCACUGAGUGAACCCUAAUGUCGACUGUGGACUUUGGGCAAUAACGACGUGUCACCGUAGGUUCAUCCAUUGUAACAAAUGUCCCCCUCUGGCGGGGAUGUUGCCAGUGCGGGAGGCUGUGCGUGGUUGGGGGCAGGGGGUGUAUGGGAACUCUCCAUACUUUCUGCUCAGUCAGUUUUGCUGUAAACCUGAGUCCUCUAAAAAAUAAAGUUUAUCCAUUAAAAAAAUUAAGGCUAUGCCAUAUGCCGCAGCAACUAACCACCCUGCUCGAACCAGACCACUCAGACAGUUGCUUUUAGGGACCAGGUAAACCAGGACCCGCUGAAGGGCCGUCUUGUCAUGGCCUCGUGGAGACGCAGCAGAACCAGGAGGGUCUCUCGGGCUCUCGGGCCUCUGUUCUCAUCUCAAAAUGCCAUCAGAAAUGCCUGAUCUGGGUGAGCAGGGGCCUUAGGAAAUUUUGCAGACAUCAGCCCUCCCAAAGCGGCGUGCGUGUUUCCCCGUUUGACACAGCGGGUCCUGAGCAGCUGCCCCCUGUGUUUUCUUGGCUCACAGCAGAGGACGGGCGGCUCCCGCCUUCCGUGGGCACCAGAACCCCCUGAGAGCUCUUAAAUCCACGCGCGUCUGGGCCCCCUCCCAAGACGGGAGGGUGGUUCCAAGACGAGCCUGGGAAUCUGCGUCCUGAAAGGCCCUCAGGUGAGGCUGAGGCGGGUGGUGGACACCCCGCACUGGGAGGAGCCCUGCCGGGGACAGUCAACCCUGGGAGCCGCCUCCGGGAUGGCGUCACCCAACCCCCUCAGGUUUCGGAAGGGGAAACCGAAGCUCAGAUUGGGGCAGGGACUUGUCUGAGGUCACAGAGUCAGCAGAGCCCAGACUAGGCCACUCAAGGUGACCAGGCCUGUGUGCCUUGGCGACACGCAGCCCCUCAAACCUCAGGAGACUCUCCUCCACCUCCUUCCCCCUCCCCUCUCUCUCUAUUAUUUUCUAGAACUUACCCAUCACCUAAACCACACGGGCCCUCCCCUAACCCACCCUGGACUCUUUAUCCACAUACAGAAUACAAGUCUGUUCGGUAGCAAACACAGCCCCUGAGGCACCACCGUCCUGCCUGACACGGAAGCCCGCAGGGGACCCUCAGCCUCCGAAGCUGGCGCGGUGAGCGGCCCGGCAUCUCCUUGGCUGGCCACAAAGUGAAAGCAGCAGGCCAGCUUUCCGGGCCCUGUGGGAUGGAAGCCCAGGCCCCCGCCGGGUCAAGGCCAGCCUGGGCGGCUUGGAACCCACCCGGCUUUUCCCUCCCAGCCGCCUCUCCCAGAGAGCCGCACGGAGGCAGCAGCCCCAGGCCCACGGCUGGGGUGGGGGCGGGGGGGGGGGGGGCGGGUCGUGGUGACUCCAGGGAGGGGGCUCCACGUUUAAGCACAGCCUCCUUGGUGUCCCCACCAUCCCCAUUGUCUCUGAGGCCUGUGGAACUGCUCCAUUCAAAGAGAAACCUGGAAAGGGCACCAGAAAAAAGGCCCCCUCUGGGACGCAGCAUCAAGCCAGUGCCGCGUGAAAUUCAAACUUUGGUCCAGGAGCCACCAUCUCUCCUCCCCGGCCGCCCACACAUGCUGAGCUGGAAUAAAAAUACGCAAAUACUUUACCAUGAAGGCUUGUACUCAGCACGGUUGGAAACGUGAAAGGGAAGAGAUUGGCUCCCUGACCGUAAACUGACAACCAGUUAAGCAGAAAUCGCUGGUCGUUGAGGAAAAAUAGGGACCCUGACGUCUGCCGGUUGAGAUCCCACAGCGGAGGCGUCUCAGGCCUCUGGACAUAGUUUUUUAAAUGAUUAGCAAACAGCUGGGUCCUGACAAGGGCGAUCUUUCAAAGUGUCCACUCGCCCUCGUGCUUUGUUUUAAAACCCUUCCAUGAAAUACUCUCGUUUUCUGAACGAGCGACAGAGGCAGCCAGAGAAGAGAAAGGUCUCGUAGGCUCUAAAUCUUACAGGCUCUAAAUAUUUUAGGCCAGAAAGACCUAAAAUAGACACAAAGACUGGAGGCCUGGCCCCUGAAGCACCCAAAAGCACAUGCUGGAAAAUCAGGCCCAACAGCUCGCGAGGUGCCCGUCGCCAAACCCAGCCCGACAGUACCUGCUCCACGCGGGGCCACCCGUCUCAGGAAACACUCCCGCCCAAGAGGGCUCCCCGGGUCGCAGGGCCGAGACCCCACCAAGCCGGCCAGCAGGGGCGGAGGAGAAAUGUCAGCGCUCGCCUCCCCGCACCCUCACACACAUCCCUUCCCUGCCUGCUCCUCCUCGUCCUCCCCUCACCCUCCC
ensembl:lncRNA